UACGAAGGGGGCUAGCGUUGUUCGGAAUUACUGGGCGUAAAGGGUGCGUAGGUGGUCGUUUAAGUCCGUUGUGAAAUCCCUGGGCUCAACCUGGGAAUGGCAGUGGAUACUGGACGGCUAGAAUGCGGUAGAGGGUAGUGGAAUUCCCGGUGUAGCAGUGAAAUGCGUAGAGAUCGGGAGGAACACCAGUGGCGAAGGCGACUACCUGGACCAGCACUGACACUGAGGCACGAAAGCGUGGGGAGCAAACAGG
rnacentral:rRNA from 1 species